GACGAACGCUGGCGGCGUGCUUAACACAUGCAAGUCGAACGGAAAGGCCCUGCUUUUGUGGGGUGCUCGAGUGGCGAACGGGUGAGUAACACGUGAGUAACCUGCCCUUGACUUUGGGAUAACUUCAGGAAACUGGGGCUAAUACCGGAUAGGAGCUCCUGCUGCAUGGUGGGGGUUGGAAAGUUUCGGCGGUUGGGGAUGGACUCGCGGCUUAUCAGCUUGUUGGUGGGGUAGUGGCUUACCAAGGCUUUGACGGGUAGCCGGCCUGAGAGGGUGACCGGCCACAUUGGGACUGAGAUACGGCCCAGACUCCUACGGGAGGCAGCAGUGGGGAAUAUUGCACAAUGGGCGGAAGCCUGAUGCAGCAACGCCGCGUGCGGGAUGACGGCCUUAGGGUUGUAAAGCUCUUUUACCCGGGAUGAUAAUGACAGUACCGGGAGAAUAAGCUCCGGCUAACUCCGUG
rnacentral:rRNA from 1 species